AGAGUUUGAUCCUGGCUCAGGACGAACGCUGGCGGCGUGCCUAAAACAUGCAAGUCGAACGAGGUCCAUCCAGUGGCAACACUGGGGACGACCUAGUGGCGAACGGGUGAGUAACACGUGAGGAACCUGCCCCGAAGACCGGGAUAACCCUCCGAAAGGAGAGCUAAUACCGGAUGUCCCCACCGGAUCGCAUGGACCGGUGAGGAAAUGUCUUUUCGCUUCGGGAGGGCCUCGCGGCCUAUCAGCUUGUUGGUGGGGUAACGGCCUACCAAGGCAUCGACGGGUAGCUGGUCUGAGAGGACGAUCAGCCACACUGGGACUGAGACACGGCCCAGACUCCUACGGGAGGCAGCAGUUAGGAAUCUUGCGCAAUGGGCGAAAGCCUGACGCAGCAACGCCGCGUGGGGACGAAGGCUCUCGGGUUGUAAACCCCUUUCAGUAGGGACGAAUCAAGACGGUACCUACAGAAGAAGCCCCGGCCAACUACGUG
rnacentral:rRNA from 1 species